UGUAUCAAUAAAAUCAAUCAGCUAAUAAAUCAAUCACUGGCAUCUAUCUACCUUCAAUAAUGUAUCCAAAUAUAUCCAAAUCAAAUUCUUCUCUUGCUAAUAAUUCCUGACACAUUGCCCAGAAUAAUGUAACAAUGUACGAUCAAUGCAUCAACCUUCAACUUGCCAUAUUUCUCAGAAAAAAAUAUGUAAUAGCAAAAAGUACUUUCUCCAAAUUAAGCAGGUAAAAUUUUUUUUCAU